CGUUACAAAGGUGUUUCUUAGUCUUAGGUUUAGUUUGUAUAGUAUUUCCGGUAGGUGCAGUUGUGUUGUAGUUUGAGUUAGUAAGUAGGCUUUAGUUGAUAGUUAGACAGCUUAGAGGAGUGUAGGUUAUUAUUGUAAUUAAGGUAUUUGUUAGUUAGUGCAUGAUUAGUGCUUGUGGUGGAUAGGUUUGCAUGAUUAACACCCUAACAAGCAGGGUUCUCCAUGAGCUGUUUUACUGUGUUGGUCCCGACACAGAAAAAUGUUCUCCGACACAGUAAAGAUUCAAAUUUUAUCUGUGCGACACAUUAAAAAUUUUGCUGACACAGUAAGAUCUGUGAUAAUAAAAAAAAAUUGAAACAUACAAAUUCUCUCUAUCUGAAACAUAAUUGAUCAAACAAUUCUACCGUCUUUCAAUUCUAUACGAUAUCUAGAUCACUUAAUUAUGCUUUCACCUUGCAUAAUCAAUUAUUUCCUAGACCCUCAAUGGACUUGACGCAUGAAGGAACAAAGACAAAAAAUUGGAUUUCAAACUUCCAUGUAACGCUUAAUUGGUACUAGUAGUUGCAAUUAAAGUACAUUGUAUUAUUUUUAAAAAUAUAUUUAAAUGUCUUUUCUUUAGAGCCAUGGCUCUAGAAUUAUGUUUGCAAUGUAAAUCAAACAUAACACUGUACCAAAAUCAUUUACUUGAUGUAAAUAAAUAGUUUUCAAUUUUCAAGGAACUUUUAAAAGUAUUUUACUAUUCCGAAGUCUCUUUUUUUGUAAUUCCUUAAUUCGAUCAAUAAAAUUGACAAAAAAAUUAUGACAAAUUUGCUUUAAAAAAUUGUAAGUAGUUCAACUUUAUAGACAAGAAUUUCCUCUGCAUUUCACAACAUGUGCUAAUAUGUUCGACCAUACUAUUUUUGUAACGAAUUGGUGAUUUUUUUUUUUUUUUUAAAUUGUGUGCAUGUAUUCUUAAGUAAUUAUAAUGAAUAGUGAGUCAGUUGCAAAUUUGAUCGCUAAAAUACCGUGAAAUUUUAGUGCUUUGCGUAAACUCUGCAACACAGUAAAAUUUCAAACAAUGGAGAACCCUGAACAAGUAACAAGCUACUAAAACUACUAACGUCUGCUAAAUGUUGUGUGACGCGUCUAGUGUGUUGGUGUUAGUGUCUGUGUGCUUGUCACCUCUCGCUUUCAGCCAUCACCGCUGGCUAGCAGCAAUGCGAAAAGGGGGAAGAAAUUCUAAUGACUUCCCCUGCCAGUACAUAGCCUCUCCACAACAAGUCCUAUGCGAUGCCUCCACGUGGAAGCAGACGGAUACUGGGUAUCAUUUUGUCCCAGGCUAAGUUCGCAAGGACGCACGGGAAGAUGAGUCUCAAAAGCAUUGGUAAACAUCUCAUAUAGGAUCUCUCCUGAUCACAAACCCAAUUUAGUAGUAGAAUCAAUUGAUAUAAGUGCUGGUUUUUAAAAGAAGUGAACCUUUGUUCAUUUUAUGUCUUUGUCAUCUUUUUAGCUCACCUGAGCCAAAGGCUAAAGUGAGCUUUUCUGAUCACAUUUUGUCCGUCGUCUGUCCGUCCGUCCAUCUGUAAACUUUUCACAUUUUCGACUUCUUCUCAAGAACCACUGGGCCAAUUUUGACCAAACUUGGUACCAAGCAUUCUUGAGUGAAGGGGAAUUUAAAUUGUUAAAAUGAAGGGCCAAGUCCCCUCACAAGGGGAGAUAAUCAAGAAAAGACAAAACUAGGGUGGGGUCAUUAAAAAAUCUUCUCAAGAACCACUGGGCCAGAAAAGCUGAAACUUCUGUGGAAGCAUCCUGGGGUAGUGUAGAUUCUAAAUUGUUCAAAUCAUGACCCCCGGCAGGUUGGGUGGGGCCACAAUGGGGAAUCAAAUUUUUACAUAGAAAUAUACAGGAAAAAUCUUUGAAAAUCUUCUGCUCAAGAACCACUGGGCCAGAAAAGCUGAAACUUGUGUGGAAGCAUCCUGGGGUAGUGUAGAUUCUAAAUUGUUCAAAUCAUGACCACCGGGGGUAGGGCGGGGCCACAAUGGGGAAUCAAAGUUUUACAUAGAAAUAUAUAGGAAAAAUCUUUGAAAAUCUUCUUCUUAAGAACCACUGGGCCAGAAAAGCUGAAACUUAUGUGGAAGCAUCCUGGGGUAGUGUAGAUUUCAAAUUGUCUAAAUUUUGAUCAGUGGGGUAGGGUGGGGUCACAAUAUGUGUUACAAGGGGGAAAUCUGGUAAAGAACAGAAUGGUCAAAGCUUCUCAGGUGAGCGAUGUGGCCCAUGGGCCUCUUGUUUGUAAAAUUUCACAUUUUCAUCUUUGGUCAAAUUCAACGAAACUUGGCAAAGAGUAUCCUUGGAUAAAUGCCAUUAUGGGAUUUAAGUUUAUUCAAAUGAAGGCCCACUCCCUCUUCAAAUGGAAGAUUACUACAAAUAAGAGAAAAAUUAAGGACAUCUUUUAAAAAUCUUCUUUUCAAGAACCACUGAGACAGGAAAGAGACACUUAUGUGGCAUCAUCCUCAGGUAGUGUAGAUUCAAAAUUAGUCAAAUCAAGACCCCAUGUUGGUGUCAGAAUAGGGGAUCAAAAAUAUAUAUAAUACUGUAGAUUCCUUAUUUUUCGCGAGUAAUUAUCGCGAAUAGGCUUUUCACCGUCAAAUCACAAGAAUAAUAAUUCGCAAAUGCAUGGUUGGUUAAGAGAUUUUACAUAGAUUUCAGCGCCAUAAAAAUAAAGGCGAGUAAUUUAAUUUUGUGUGUGGUGCUUCUCACGAAAUUACGCGAAAAUUAAUUCCACACACAUAUUUAGGAAUCUACAGUAUGUAGGGAUAUACUUUUUUUUUCUCAAGCCACAAUUAGUUAUAUUGAUAGCAAAUCAUCCUUUUUGGUAGUGAAGAUUUCAUUUUGUUCAAAUCAUGUCUACCGGGAAAAGGUUUGGGCCACAUUGGACAAUCAAAGUUUUACAUUGGAUUAUAUUGGAAAUAUUUUUAGAAAUCUUCUCAGAAACAAAUAUGUCAUGACUGGUGAUAUGUAUACGGUAGCAUCUUCAUGUAGUGUAGAUUUAAGUUUGUUCAAAUCAUGACUCCCAGGUGUAGGGCAGGGCCCCAAUGGUGGAUCAAAAUGGACAGGGGAAUACUGUAAAUCACUUUUUAUUCGCGAGAACUUUAUUUUCACAUUAUUACGCGAGACGGUAUGGUCGCGAAAAUUUGAUUCUCGCGUAUAAUAUAAUUCCUUAAGAUUAUAUAGAGCAAUGACCACAAUUUUGAAAAUUUUGUCUCGCUAAUGAAGAGUCAUUGACUAUCUCGCGAAAAUAAGGUGUCGCGAAAAUUAAGUGAUUUACAGUAUAUAGGAAACGUCUUCUCAAUAAUACCAAAGCCAUAUAUAGUCAUAUUGAUAUGGAAGCAUCCUUAGGUAGUGUAGAUUCAAAUUUGUCCAAAUCUUGAUUCCAGGGGGCAGGGAGGGGCAUCAAUGGGGAUAAAAUUUUAACAAAGGAAUAUAUAGGAAAAAAUUUUAUGUUCAAGAACAGCUAAGCCAUUGUUAUUGAUAUGAAAAUGUCUCCAGGUAGUUAUUCAAGCCCCCUUCUCCUCUUCCUAAAUUUUAUACUUUUCAAUACUGGACUAAUUUGUCAUUUACUAGCCAAUAUGCUUAGGUGAGCAUAUUGCCCAUUGGCCACUAGUUUAUUUUAGAAAUCUUCUCACUUGGUAUGAAGUGCAAGUGAUCCCCUUUUGGUGUCUGUUAAUUUUUAUCUUUUUAAGAGGAAUACUUUUAAGGCUGAACAGGAUCCUGAAGUGAGGAGGACUCCCUCUCUCAUUGAACUGCAUACAGCAGCAGAAAGCAGGAUUUCAGUUCCCCUUUGAUUCAGAAGAGGAACAACAAUGGAGGACCAAGGUCAUUAAUAUAAGAAGAGUCUAUUCCUGUCUGUGUUUUGCAGGUAUUAUGUUUCAAAAGUGCAGAAGAAAGUUAAGACUGACCAGGAAUUCUAAGUGAGGAAGAGUCCCUUUCCCAUUCCGCUGCAGCCAUGAGGAGAAUACUCGUAAGAAUCAGACUUUACUUCUUUUUUACCUAUGGAACUUCAUCAUGACCCACUUUAACAGGCAGGAGUCUUACAAGUAUUUUUUAUUUAAUUAUUUCUGACAUAUCUUUGUCCUCCCUACUCUAAAGUAACUAUGCUUUCCUCUCCUUGCCCCAAUAUUCCACCUUAUUCCUAGCUAUCAUAACCUUAUUGUCUUUAUUUGCUUUUUGAUUUUCAAGCUAAUAAUGUUGUAAUGAUUAUGUUCAUUUGAAUUUCUGUGAUUAUUACAUUGCUUUGUAUUAUUGCUUAUCUUCUCUCCAUCAAGUAUUUUCAAGGAAUUUGACAAGGGAAGAGGACCAGUGCUGACCAAGUGAAGAAAAAGAAGAGUCUAUUGCCAAGCUUUGUACAGCAGCCAAUAUCUGAUUAAGGAGUGGGCAGACGGUUAUGCUGGCAUUGAUCCUGUUUCCAAAAGCAGAUCAACAUGAUUCCUCAAGACUCCAAAGAGAUCAACUAUGGGACCUGAAAAUAAAGGCAGACUGCCAUCAAUUUCAUGUUUCUUUGAUAGCAGACAAAUAUGCUUCAACAAUAGUGCAGAGAGUAAUUUAAGGUUUGGACUGCAAGUGAUGGACACACUAAAUAACUCAACUCAAAGAAUUCAAUGGAUAGUGCUGAGUACAUUAUUAU